rnacentral:rRNA from 1 species
UACGUAGGGUCCAAGCGUUAUCCGGAAUUACUGGGCGUAAAGAGUUGCGUAGGUGGCAUAGUAAGUUGGUAGUGAAAUAUCACGGCUCAACCGUGGACACAUUACCAAAACUGCUAAGCUUGAGCAUAGUAGAGGUACCUGGAAUUUCUAGUGUAGGAGUGAAAUCCGUAGAUAUUAGAAGGAACACCGAUGGCGUAGGCAGGGUACUGGGCUAUUGCUGACACUGAGGCACGAAAGCGUGGGGAGCGAACGGG